rnacentral:rRNA from 1 species
UACGUAGGGGGCGAGCGUUGUCCGGAUUUAUUGGGCGUAAAGAGCUCGUAGGCGGCUUGACAAGUCGGGUGUGAAACCUCCAGGCUCAACCUGGAGACGCCACUCGAUACUGCCAUGGCUAGAGUCCGGUAGGGGACCACGGAAUUCCUGGUGUAGCGGUGAAAUGCGCAGAUAUCAGGAGGAACACCGGUGGCGAAGGCGGUGGUCUGGGCCGGCACUGACGCUGAGGAGCGAAAGCGUGGGUAGCAAACAGG